rnacentral:lncRNA from 1 species
CGCUCGUAGUAGAAGUUCGGAGUGGACCACUCGUAGUAGAAGUUCGGCUCUCGCAGGAGCUCGGUUGGAAUCCUGAAGGCGGUCGACCGUCGUAGAAACUUAGAUGGAGUCUAAUUACUGUAGAAAUCUCAUUGUCGGAGAAGCUCGGAUAUUGAUGAAGUCCAGAAGAAGUUCGAAGAAUAGUUAAUCACUGUAGAAGGUCGGCUGAUAGUGAGGCCCAGAGAGCCUUUGGAGUAGCCUGGUAGAU